AAACACAACACUAGAGUGUCAAGCAGCCCAUGUAGUCAUGAUGUCGAUACCACUGUCAGGUGUGUGCAGAUGCUGCAUGCAAAAUUGUGAGCAGGUUUCACCUUGCCGGUUCAGGAGAAAAUCCACAGAGAAGUGAAGGUCUCAAAAUUUUAUAAGGACGCACAUGUAAGUACAUGUGUAGCUAAAAUGUGUGCGCUACCACUUCCAGCACACCACACCAGAAGGGGAGGGCAAAUAUGCCAACAACCACCAUUUCUGCAAUGAUGAUGUACCGUAAUAAUAGAAAAUAUUCAAGACUGCCACCGCAAGAGACAAAACACAAGGAACCUGGCUGCAGACUUUAUCAAAGCAACAUAUUUCUGGGAUGCGAUUACUGCCAAUACAAGCCCAUGACCAUGA